CGUACACUCCUGCGGGAGGCAGCAGUGGGGAAUUUUGGACAAUGGGCGAAAGCCUGAUCCAGCCAUGCCGCGUGCAGGAUGAAGGCCUUCGGGUUGUAAACUGCUUUUGUACGGAACGAAACGGCCUUUUCUAAUAAAGAGGGCUAAUGACGGUACCGUAAGAAUAAGCACCGGCUAACUACGUGCCAGCAGCCGCGGUAAUACGUAGGGUGCAAGCGUUAAUCGGAAUUACUGGGCGUAAAGCGUGCGCAGGCGGUUAUGUAAGACAGUUGUGAAAUCCCCGGGCUCAACCUGGGAACUGCAUCUGUGACUGCAUAGCUAGAGUACGGUAGAGGGGGAUGGAAUUCCGCGUGUAGCAGUGAAAUGCGUAGAUAUGCGGAGGAACACCGAUGGCGAAGGCAAUCCCCUGGACCUGUACUGACGCUCAUGCACGAAAGCGUGGGGAGCAAACAGGAUUAGAUACCCCUGUAGUCCCAU
rnacentral:rRNA from 1 species